ACGAGCAUAUCAAGUUGAUACACCGGUUCUCGUACGAUCAUCGAAGUUAAGCAACGUUGAGCGUGGUCAAUAUAUACUAAGAAGUGUGAUCGCUUGGGAAUGUCAUGUGUUGUAAG